UUACUCUCUUUACUCGUGGGUUCUAGAAUUUUGAAAACUCAAUCCCCUCAUAACUUUCUCUCUCUCACGUGUCCUCUGUUCUCCCUAAACCCCCAAAACUGAAAACCUCAAACCCGAAUAUCUCUCUCUCUCGUCCUACUCGAGCUCCACCGAUGAACGUCCACUAGACUUACGUUGUCGUCGCGUUGCUGCUGCCUGGAGUUUUGUUGCCGACGAACGCUGUUGCCGCUACGUGGUUGAUUUUCUAGUUCGGUCCCUCGCCGGAGACCCGUACAACUCUUCGCAUCCCCUGUUCUCCUCUCUCCGUCGUGGUUGUGUUAUUGUUUGUGUUCGAUGCUGCUUUACAUCACGUCGCCUGUUCACCGUUGACGGACCCUCAUCGCACCACGAACCACCGCGAAUCACCGAAGCUCUCUGCUCCCUUGUUUGUUCCUGCUCUAUUGAGCAGAGGUAUAUUAUUACCUCCUCCUCUUGUUUCUGAUUUCCUAAUUUGUAAAUUAUGCCCAAGUUGUUGUUAUUUGUUGUUGCUGCUCUGUUUUAGUUGUGUAGUUGGGUUAUUCUGUGGUGGUGGUUUAUAGUUAAUGGUUAUCGAAUUAAUGGUUGGUGUUGUCGUGUUGUUGGUUGUUGUUCUGUAAUGGUGGUGGUGGAGUUGUUGUAGUUGUGAGGGUUGCUGGUGUGGUUGUGUGUUGUUGUUAUUGUUAUUGUUGUGGAGUUGUGUGGUGGUUGUGGUGAAGUGUUGUAUUGCUGGUUUUUUGUGGUAGUGUUGUUCCUGUUGUUCGUGGUUGUUGUUGGUGGUGGGUUUCAUUUCUCCUUUGUGCUAUUAUGUUGGUACACUUCUUUCUUCUGCAAACUCUAUUAUGGGUUAGGUAUAACUUGUUUCUAUUUUGUUUUUUCUCAUAUUACUUGCUAGCAAUUUGUGAUGAAGUAAAUUCAUUAGGAGUUUAAUUAUGGAAUAUAGUUUAAUUGAGAGGAGUUGUGGUGGUAAUGUUGUUGGGUGGUUGUUGUCGUUAUUGAUGUUGUGUGGUUGGAGUUAAUAUAUUUGAAGAUAAGUUUAGCAGUUAUAUAGGAUUAGUUAGUUUUUAUUUGCGGGAUUUAGAUUGAUUAGCAUAGUGAUUGUAUUAGAAGAAGUUAAUUAGAUAAGAUAAGAUUGGUUAUUGAUUAUCGUUGUCAUUGUGAGGUGAUUCUUGGAGGAUGAUUUGGGAGUGAAGAAUCAUUCGGGAUUAUGAAGUUGAUUAUGUUGUUGGACCCGAAUUGCGUAUGAGGUAACUUUUAUGUUCAGUAAAAUCAUUUACUCAUGCCCUUGUGUGUGUGUGUGUGUGAAUAUUUGUGUUCUGUUUUCGAUAAAUAAGUUCGUACUAUGGCCAUAGUUAUGAAUAUGAUGUUGUGAGUUGGUUAUAAAAAUAUUAUUUAAUGAGUAUGAAUACGAAAACUGUUUUGCUGGCUUAGUUUAUGAACUGAAAAUAGUAAGUGGGCAAGGUAUGGGUGGAGGAUGGUUACUCUUUUGACCUGAUACAGGUCGGCUACGCUCCAUUGCGAACUUUGGGGGUAGUGUUGCUGGACUCCAUAGCGCAGCUUGAAGGUUUGGUGUCAAGAUCUCGGUAAUGGAAGUGGAGCAAGAAUAGGAUUACGUUUUGUAAAGAAUUGAGUUUGUAUUCUAGUUAGUUGAUUAGAGAACAGUUAUUUAUUAUUCCUUUGUAUAUAACUUUUGGGAAUUAGAGUGGAGUUAUUGGUGUAAUUCAAGUCUUAUAUAAAAGAUUUUGUUUUGUGGGCCA